UACGUAGGUGGCAAGCGUUGUCCGGAAUUACUGGGUGUAAAGGGAGCGCAGGCGGGAAGCCAAGUCAGCUGUGAAAACUACGGGCUUAACUUGUAGACUGCAGUUGAAACUGGUUUUCUUGAGUGAAGUAGAGGUUGGCGGAAUUCCGAGUGUAGCGGUGAAAUGCGUAGAUAUUCGGAGGAACACCGGUGGCGAAGGCGGCCAACUGGGCUUUAACUGACGCUGAAGCUCGAAAGUGUGGGGAGCAAACAGG
rnacentral:rRNA from 1 species